GACGAACCUUGGCGGCGUGCGUAACACAUGCAAGUCGAACGAAAGACGGAAGAGCUUGCUCUUUUCAGAAUUGGUGGCAAACGGGUGAGUAACACGUAAACAACCUGCCUUCAGGAUGGGGACAACAGACGGAAACGACUGCUAAUACCGAAUAAGUUCCAAGGGCCGCAUGGCCCAUGGAAGAAAAGGUGGCCUCUACCUGUAAGCUAUCGCCUGAAGAGGGGUUUGCGUCUGAUUAGCUGGUUGGAGGGGUAACGGCCCACCAAGGCGACGAUCAGUAGCCGGUCUGAGAGGAUGAACGGCCACACUGGAACUGAGACACGGUCCAGACUCCUACGGGAGGCAGCAGUGGGGAAUCUUCCGCAAUGGGCGAAAGCCUGACGGAGCAACGCCGCGUGAGUGAUGACGGCCUUCGGGUUGUAAAACUCUGUGAUCCGGGACGAAAAGGCAGAGUGCGAAGAACAAACUGCAUUGACGGUACCGGAAAAGCAAGCCACGC
rnacentral:rRNA from 1 species